UCAACGGCAGAACUAAUCAACGUAAGAGG
rnacentral:sRNA from 1 species